CGCUUCCUGAACAGUUCUUAAAAAACCUCACAUAUGUAGAAAUGACUUCUCUAUGAAGCUCGUAAGAAUAUUAAACAUCAUAUUUGUCGAGGAAAAAGUUCCACAGGAAAAAGACUCCUUUAAACUUCACUUUUUUGUAAGAAGAUGGCUGGAACUCUGACUUUUCUUCUCAUUAGUUCUCUGCUGCAGGGUGCACUGUGUGAAACGUUCAACAUCAAUAUGCCACAGAAUAUAAAGGUUUUGAGAGGCUCCUGUGUGACCAUCCCCUGCUCCUUUGAUGUAGAGAGGAACCAUAAAAAUAACUUAGAUGAUACAUGUGAAGCAUAUUGGAGUGAUUCAACUUCAUUUGACAGUAAAAAUGCAAAACUAAAGCCAACUAAAGAAAUGACAGGAGACUUAACAAAGAAAGACUGCACCACAACUUUCAAUAAUGCAAAUCUUCUUCAAAGUACUAAAUAUUACUUCAGACUGGAGUGUAAUAAUACACUGAAAUACACUUUUAAACAAGCUGGUGUAGACAUUUAUUCAUAGAUGAUCCUCCCUCUCCGACUCUGACUCCAUCCACACUGGAGGUGGAGGAGGGAGUCUCAGUGAGUCUGACAUGCUCUGCUCCAGCUCCAGCUCCAUGUUGGUCUCAUCCUCCAGCUCUGACAUGGAGCCCUAACCUGGGUCAGAGUCAGGAGACACUGCAGGAGAAUCAGGACAAAACUAAAGUCAGGACCUCUGUUAUGAAUUUCACUGCUUCUCACCUCCAUCAUGGAAAUAAAAUCUCCUGCACUGCUGUCUACCAGAAACAAGAUGGUAGCCCUGAUGUCACUGCUGAAACAAGUUUAACUCCUGAUAUUUCAAGUGGAACGUGGGGGAUCACAAUGCCACAGAAUAUAAAUGUCGUGAGUGGAACCUGUGUGAUCAUCCCCUGCUUCUUUGACGUAGAGAAGAGCUAUAAAAAAAUGUUAGAUCAUACAUGUGAAGCAUAUUGGGUCAAAGAAGGUGCAAAACUGCUUGCAACUAAAGACAUGAGAGGAGACUUAACAAAGAAAGACUGCACCACAACUUUCAAUAAUUGAAGUCUUCUUCAAAGAAGUAAAUACUACUUAGACUGGUGUGUG